CUGGCAGUCACUGGGACUGUACAGCAAAGCCCUGCACAGCAGGGAGCCCAGCGAAUGCUCUGCCACUCAAAUUUAGGCACCUUUGCUCCAGUUGCUGCUUGGUAUAAACAGGGAUGAAAGUCUCAGUACUGAAGAAAGCAACACUGACACUCUGAAAUCACCCUUCAGCAUGACAACAAAAGACAGCUUCCUCAAGCAAAGGACAUUACAGGUGGCCUAUGAUGUCUCCGAGCAAAAUGUGUUCCUCCCUGCGAAACAGCCAUUAUGCAGUACAACAACCUCAAUGAGGUCUCAUCAUCUACAAGUUAAUAACAUUGCUAGCUAUGACUACGAUAUAUAGCUGAUAAAAAUCCCAGAAGUCUGAUGAUAGUGUUCUCCACAUCAGCAGUUACUUGAAUGCUUUCCAUCAAUAAGGUGCCUCACAGCUCCCUAAAAAAGCUUAACUUUAAGAGACCAUACAGUCAGAGAAAACAGCAUUUAGGGUAACACAGAAUUUACUGUAGGUUGGACAUUUCGAUGUUUGCAGUAAAGCACACACUAUAUUAUUUAUGUCCUAUUAUCUGUUUCUAGCUUUCCACUUCUCUCCUCUGAUAUCUCCUCAUAAGAACAAGCCAAUAUCUCUUGCAGGGCCGAAACCAGGUAGAAACCAGGGCAAAGCCAAGAACAGCAUUAAACUUAAAGCCAUGUAUGCAAAAAUGAAAUCUAAACAGGCCAACCAAGCUGUUCCUGUGCAGGACACUUAUUUAUAAGAAAAUAUCCUGCUACUACAAGAAGAAACUCACAUACACUAUAUAUAUAUAUAUAUAUUAAUUUAAAAGAAGAAAAGAGAGGAGAAAUUGUUUCUCACUCCAGGCAAGGGCAGCUAGCACACAAUGCUUCUUUAGAGAAUCUUCUUUACCUUUUUUUCCCAAGGAGAAAAAGCUGAGAUACAAGUUAGUCCCUACCUGAAAAACUAAGACAUAUAACAGAUAGUAUAGAUGCUAAUUUAUCUAUGCGGUUUGUCAUUAGCAAGAUAAGAUUUGAAUUAAAGAAUGUAGAUACAAAACAACUGCACUUCCAGUACCAAAGACAUUAUAAAAAUCUCCACAUUUAAAACGUAGCCACAGCAAGAACAACACAGUCCUCCCAUGGAUGUUUGUGGGCAGCAAGAUCAAACAGUAUGCAGUAGAGAAUUGGGCCAUGGUCCUUUUGGGAUGAACUUGUUAACAGCCAGAAACAGCAUUAACCUAUCAUACUGUAAUGCCAAUCACAGCUUUAGGUUUUUCUAAGACCAAAGAUUGCUCAGCAGUGCACAUCAACAACUUCCUAUGUGCAUACAUCAAGUGACAUUGCACUAUUCUUACAAGACAUGAUGCACACAUCUAUAUACUACAAAAUAAUUCCACUGAAUUAUUCAUAACACCUUUCUUUCCAAAUAAGCAUUUAGGAAGCUACAUCAUCUAAACAUAAAGAGCAGCUGUUUAAUGUCCCUGUAUACACAACUCCAGGAUUUAGAAGAGGAAUGAUAAAUAGUACUACCAAGAGAAAAUGCAAGGGCAGUUAAUGAGGGAGCAAUGUAAUUAACCAAAUGGAAAUUUGGCUCUAGCAGCCAUGCUCAGAGUGCUACACUUGCAAAAAGAAAACAUACAGAGUUUUCAAAUGACUGCACUGCUCAGGACACUGCGUGUCUCAUUCCCAGUACAGCGUCAUCAAGAGCCUACUAACAACGUAUGGGAAAACUGCCCUGACACCAGUAUGUCUGCUGCUCUCCCACUCACUCUGCAGAGCAGGUCCUGACUGUUACAAUCACCCAGGAAUUACAGAACACAAAGGACAGGCAUUCAUGAAGCAAAAUAACUGCUGCUUUCUUGUAUCUGCCUUCCUUCCUCCCUGCCAGUUGCGCUUCUUCCUCCCCUCCUGCCAGGAAAAGCAGUAGGUUGGUGCCACGCAGCUGCAGGAUGGACAUAGGCACGCACUGCUCAGGACAGAAUCAAAACCAGAAUGCUGAAGCUACAACAACCACAGGGAGAGGUAAGAGUGGAAAUGUGUGGAACAAAGUAAAGAGGCAUGACAGGACCCUGAGAAAGCUCUUGCUGAAUACGCGACCAUUCCCAGGGUGGAGAGCAAACCAGAGCACACUCUUCACAUGGUAGUUUGUGGUCAUCCCUGAACAAUUCAUAAGAACGCUACAUCAAAUGUCGAUAACUUGAUCAUAAAUUGAUUAUUAGAACGAAUACUGAACAGUUUAUCCAGAUGUUUAAUUUAAGAUACUGGGCAGAAAUUUUAGAAGGUGAACAGAAGAAAUUCCAUGAAGUCGUCCAAAGGAAGUGCAUCUCACGGGUGGGUCAUUACCAUAGAGGAUGCCAGCCAGAAAAGGCUAAUAAAAACAGAGAAGCUGUGAGAUCCCAGCAGAACUGCCACCUGUGCUCUCCUGGAGGUGAUCCAAGAGGAUGACAGCACAGUACCACAUGCCAAAGCAAAAUCUACUCUGUUAUAUAAGGCUGCUGUACUUUGGAAAAAUACAUAACCAGCACAAUUAGGUUUAGCAAGUAAGAACUUAAGAGAAGGCAAAAAUCACUUUGGCUACUUCUUACAGGUUGGGUUUGGACCUGUACUACAGACUAUCUGGAAGAAAUCAUGAAACCAAAUGUUUCUCUUUGAUGUAAAGCAAACUGUUCUGGAGGACUUUUUUUUAAAAAAGGAAGACAGCCUUCUCACUUUAUGCUUUAGGCAAAGGGGAUAACAUCCUUCACACUUUCUAACUAACAAUCAGACUCUUCUGUACACAACACAAAGUCAGGUAUAACCAAGAUAUUGUAUUUGAACUAAUUAAAUCAAGGAUGCAAUGGCAAGAAUGGGUUUCAACUUACACUUAUCCUUCCUCCGUCCCAGUAGCCAAACUGCCACAUUCAGGAAUGAUUUUUUUUUUAAUGAAAACAAAGGAAAAACACACCAUGCACAUGACAUACCCACCCACUAAGAGAACAGAAAUUUGUAUCCAAGGGUGUACUCCAAGUGUGGAAAUGGAUGUAUAGCUCUGGGUUUUGUCAGCUGGUAUAAUCAUUAUCUUAGGGAUGGAAGAAUUCUGUAAUGGUCAACAGAAGAUGAAUGUAAUUCCUUCCAUGUAGAUGGAUAAUGCUCAAAGACGACUCACGUAGAUGAUUCUCAGACAAAGAAAACGAUAAUCACACCUGAAGGAUGUUGUAACAUACAUAUUACUACUAAAAGAGAAAAGCAAAACACCAUUCAUUCUGAAGAUCUACUGAAUUCCUGGUUAAAGGAAGCUAUUGCCAGACUCUUUUCCAACAGAUAAUCAGUUUGAAGUUACUAAGAGAUGACUGUAUUUUUCUUCUCAUUAUUAAAAAGAUAGUGUCAAAUUUUUGAUAGCAAAUCAACAGACAGAAGGAAAUCACCAAGGUCAUAGAGCAAAAAUUACCUUGGGCUUUCUGGUCUUCAGUAUCAGCCCAUGUGAAAUUAUUUUGUGUUUUGGCAGCAGAGAAGAGAGCAGUGUUUUUCAGUUUGCACUCCCCUUACAGUGACUUCAUGAAGAGGAGCAACAGCUGAAAGCAAAAUGUGAUUUUGACAUCUUUGAACAAGAAAAGGCAUAAAAGCUGGUCAGGGUAGCUGGGCAGGGAGAACACUGAGGACAGAACUGGAGGUCCCAGAAACACUCAAGGUAAUUCCUGCUAGCUAACUAUAAAGAGAAAACAAGCAACAGCAUUAGUAAUACUUUGCCAAAAGCUUUAUAAUUUCUAUGAUAUGGCCUUGUUUGAUCUAUCAUAACCAAGAUGAACCAGGCCAGUAUAACAUCUUGAAGCAACAGCAAAGCCCUGGUGCUGGUUCCUGCAAUGCUAUUGCCAGACAGACAUCUAUCUGAAGCAUUUCAUACUGCCCUUAAGCUAGUCCUAGACAUUGCCUAAAAGGAAGGUUGUUUCAGCUUCGACCCAUCCUGUAGAGGAUUACCAGCAUUUGUGAAAUGAAAGAAACAAACACGAUCCUAACCUCUGGCACAGAGCACAGCAGGCAGAAAUGUGAUGGCCAGCCCAGCCUUUGGUACGCUGCUGCCUGUUGUUCACAUCAAUCCCGUUUUUUAACAAUCAGUCAGCUAGAUGUCUGUUCCUUCACCUCUUCUUCAGCUGUGCAUCCCAUAGUCACUUGCAUUAAAGGGACUGUACUGAUGUACAGGUCCAGAAAGCUCAUACAGACCUGACAAAAUACAAAGGCUUCAUAAAAGAUUUUCUCAAUAUGGUGAUCUGUUUAGUAUAUACAACUGGAUGUCUGAUACAUCAGGUUUAUGCAUAGUGUGGAAGUACAUCAUUGACACAUAUAGAAACAUGGGACUACUAAAGCAUUUCCCAAAACAGAUAAGAGUGAAACUGGUGCCAUAUGGUGAAUGAGAAACCAGAGCCAAGACAAAUACUCUGCUUUUCCCUAAUGUAGCCAAUACACCAUUCUAACAGCUGUGUUGAACCAAAACUAAAACAGAAAAAGGAUCAAAAGCCCAUUCUAAUGGUUAAUAAAGUCUUCUGGAAUGCUCAAACCUAUCAGGAAGGAAAUCCUGUGGUCAUACAGGGAUGAUAUUUGCUUGGAUUAAUCAGAUCCUGGCGAGAUUUGCCCGGCAGGGAGGUUGGAGAUUCAUGAUCCUUGAGGUCCCUUCCAACCCAGGUCAUUCUGUGAUUCUGUGAUUCUGUGACUCAUGAGUAAUUUGCAGAAAAGGUAUUGUGCAAGGCAAGAGUGAUCUGUCUGGGCUGACAGAGGAGAAGAAUGGGAAAAGUACACCGUAUACUAAAAUGUAGCCACCAAUAGGGCCUGGAAAUCCCAAAAGGUCAGACAAAGAGUUGUCCAUCACUGUAGCAGUAGCAUGAGCAUAACCUCCACCUCCACUCCUAAAAAUGCUCUGCAUAACAUUUCUAACUACUGUGGGCUGGUCAGCUGGGAAGGAUGGAAUGGUGGAACACAGGGGAACCCCACCUCCGCCACCCACAUCUUCUCCAGUACUGCCUCUUCCCCCUGCUGCAUCUUCAGCCAGGCUACAGUGGAGUAAGAAUGGACCCAUACCCAGACAAUUUCCUAGGCAGGGAGCAGGAAGCUCACCUAGAGAGCAAGAGAUGGGGUUCUCACAAGGGUGACCCAUGUCUCAGCAUCAGCUGGCAGAGCUCAGCUCUGGCCAGGCCAUGAAAUGAAGACACAUCUACUCCUUCUGAAGGGCUUCUGGGCUCUGAGCACUUCUCAACUCAGGAUCUGAGCCUUUUUUUUUUUUUUUUUUUUUUUAAACAAAUCCAGAGUGAUCAAUUAAGGUAUCUGUAAGCUCCGUAUCUUCUGACCAUCAUAUGCUAAAUGCUAAAACAAGUAUAUGCUGAAAAAUAAACAUCUAUUUCUGCUGUAUAACUAAUCUGAACUAACAGUGGGAACUUGAAGUCUACCAGGUCACACAACUGGAAUACUAAAGGUUUGGCUUAACUUCCCAAAUACCACUUUUCAACCCCUAAAUCAUCACUGGAAAUCAGGUUCAAGAACAGAAACUCAUGAGAAAUUGGUCAUACAUUUUCCUAUGACAGUCCAUUGCUACUUAUGAGGAAAACACAAAGUGUCCUCUUUGUUAAGAUAAAAAUGAAGAAUGACUUCCCACUGAGAGUCUUUAAAGUAUAUACUGUUACACUGCUGUUAAACCUGGUUACAGUUCUCCUACUAUGAAAAAAGAUCACAGUUCCAAUAUUACUUCAAUUAUCAGUCUUUAAGGAUGCCAUUCAUAAUGAAGUACAAAUUCAGUAUAAAAAUAUCGUAACUUCAGCUGAUAAUGUUUAAUUUUACUUCAAUUAAACAACAGCCUAGAAAUUAACGAUCUUCUCUGCAAUUUGAAUAGAAACCAGAAAGCAUAUAAAAAUUUGUCCUUGAAGAGCACUUAGUAUCACAAGAGAAGGUCCCACAUGGGUCCCAUAUUCAGUGCAGUGACAUUUUGUGAGAUGAAGUUAUGUAACUUGAAAAGAGCCAAAGACAUCUGAAAAUACCAAGUUUGAUUAGCAUUUGCAGUUAAAAGCUAAAAGUAAGUAUUUUAAAACUCAGAAAUUUCAGCUCUGGUCUGAUAUGGCCUCCAACCACAGAAAGCUGACAUUUGAAAGACUGCUUAGAGAAAGAAGGAAGGCAUCUAUGCCCAAUCCAAAUGUGUAGAUAUACAGCUGUCAGAUAAGUUACAAUCAUUUACCCCAAACAGAGCUGAGUGAUUUAACACUAGGCACAGUGUUAAACAAUGAACCGACCUGCAGUGAAUGGGACCAACUUUUCCCUCUUUUUAAAAACAGCCAUUAGACUUAACAAUGCUCUGUGAUAGACAGACUCCAGGAAAAACCAUGAUUCUUUCUUAUCUGCAGAGAUGUCACCCCUUGAAGAGGGCCUACAGGAAAGCUGGGGAGGGAAACGGUUUUAAACUGGAAGAGGGUAGAUUUAGACUAGAUAUUAGGAAGAAAUUCUUUACUGUGAGGGUGGUGAGACACAGGAACAGGUUGCCCAGCAAAGUUGUAAAUGCUCCCUCCCUGAAAGCAUUCAAGGCCAGGCUGGAUGGGGCUGCGAGCAACCUGGUCUAGCAGGAGGUUUCCCUGCCUAUAUCAGGGGGCUGGAACUAGAUGAUCUUACAGGUCCCUUCCAACCCAAAUUAUAUGAUUCUAUGAUGAUAUCCCAUUGUCAUUAGCAACAAGAGCUGUACCCAGUGCAUUUACUCUGAAAUACUGCUGAAGUUCCUCUUCCAACAGCUGCCUUCACAGCUACAUACGUAAGACAGUAGGCUGGAGUUACCUAUUAAUCUAGCAAAAAAGAAUUACCUUGAUGUCACAUAGUUUGAAUAAUAAUUAUGCUAUGGGCUAGAAACCAUUCACCGUAAUAAAAAUGGUUAUAAACAAUUCUAGAUCCACAGAGCAUGAUGGAUGAUUCGUUAUGACACUAAAUAAUGUUUUAAACAUUGCACUGCCUAAAUUCCAGCACAUCUUAAAUUUGGGUAUGAUCCUGUAACUCAAAUUUGAUUCACAUCAGAGUUUUGCUUGACUUGUGAUAUCUUAACUUAAAAUUAUGGAUUACAGUUGGUUGCUCUUGGAUGGCUUUGUCAACAAGGUCAAUUAAAUGUAAUGUUUUAUUUGACUUUUUUCUUGUUAAAAAAAUUGGGGUAAGGUACUUGGACAUUUUGGUCCUGUAAACACAGCUUAAUAUCAAAGUGUCAAAAAGAAUCUUGGACACAACACUAAGGCUGGAUGAAAGAACAGCAAUAGGUUAUAUCCAGCAAUGGAUGCAGCAGCUUGAACAGCUGCCUCCAACACCAACCCCCUUCAUAACGGCAUCUUCUAGGAAACAAAUAUUCUAGCAAACUAACCAAAAAUCACUUACAAUGGAUAUUUUGAAACUUUAAUCCACCUUCAGUAACGAGCUAUUUGUUUGAUUCCUACUAUUUUCUGGAGGGGAAAGUUUGGAAAGAUGAUUGUUUCUUUUUGUUACCACUUGACAGCUAAUCAAGUUUGAUAUUUAUAUUGUACCAGAAUAGUGAUAUGUCAAACUGGAUAUUAUAGUACAUUUCUGAAGAUAGUAAUUUAACCUUCAGCAAUUCAGUUUGAUUCAGUGCUGUCUACACACUUGCAAAUAGUUGUAUUUUAGAUCCUUGCAACCUGGUGACAGAAAUAGACCCUCCCCCUGUUAGAUUGCUGGUCUGGAGUGCCACUUGGUGGCCAAGUACAAGCACUCACACCUGCUGUGGUAGACAUCUCUCUGAAACCAGUUGAGUAGACUCACAACCCACCAAAAUAGUCUUGUAGUCUACAGUUUGAAACACACUGGAUUUGGAAAUAAUCAUGCUGCAGUUGCUUAAAUGACACAACUAAAACAUCCUUCUUCACAAAAACUUGCCAUGGGGUACUGUUGGUAGUCAACAAUCUCUUGGUGAACCUCCAACUAUAGAGGUCAAAUCUUUCACCUCUCAGGCAUAAAAAGCAGAUCCAUAGUCAGGCUGUAAGCAUGUCCUCUUGUGCAUCGAGCACAGGGACAGAAUCCGUAACGCAUCUUCACAUGUGGAUAACUUUGGAUCUUGUAGAUCUUAGUUGACAUAAAUAGUAAACAAACAAACAAUAACAGGCUUCUGAAACAACCAGUUCAUUCACAUAAGCCAAAGAAGCCAUUUCAAACAAAGAAAGAAACAGAAAACAAGAUGGGAUAUGCAACCAGCAGCUCGCAAUGCUGGGAGCAUCUCAUUAUGGCACCACUUGUACACUGACAUUACAGGACACUGAGUUCCUAAUUAUUUGCUUGUAGGAUUUCAUUAACUCCAAGCCAGAGCCGAACUUGCAUCACUGGGUCAGAACCAGGCCAGAGUCAAGGGCAAAGGACACCCUGUACCAUCAGAAAACCUCAGCUUCCUCUUAGUCAACUGCCUCCUAGACACUACGAUGCAAUAGCAAUUUCUUUGUUCCUUCUUGCUUCUUAACAGAAGAGCAGGCACCAGCAGCAGAACUCAUAUUCAGCACAGGCAUGGCAGUGCAAGUAGGAGGUAAAGGAAAACAUGGGGAAAAUUAGUUUAUACCUGGACUACAUAUUUGAGAGAGAGAAAAGAAUAAUAACCAAAAAAAAAUUAUGUAACACUACAAAAAGUUGAGCACUCCCUUAGAAUCAUCUGAGUUAACUGCACUGUUUCUUUUCCUCUUGGGUAGUAUAACGCAUGUGAAUGAAGGCCAGAAGUGAGUAUCUUGGAUGAAGAACCUUAACUACAGAAAUGAGAUUAUAUCAAUGUCAAAUAUCUAUUAUUAUUAUUCAUACUUCUAUUAUGAGCUUUCCAAGCUGCUGGCCGGUCUCCCAGAACAUUUUUACCUCUUGUUUUCUCUCCGCGGUAAAUGGCUCAUGGUAACACUUAAUAAAUCUGAUCAGAGCACACUUUUAUAAUAAAUAUUAUUAUCUGAAUAAAUCCUAAUCAGAUCAAAUUAGCUGAAUAUUCAGCCUUCCUCAAUAACUCAUCCACAGCAGCUUAAAGAGAUGAAAGAAUACUACCUUAUAAUAGCUUGAUAUCAGACCACAAACAACUGUCAAACACAACACAAAGCAGGAAAAGAUAAUUAAUUCCUUAAUUCAAAAAGACACAAACACAUCCUACAUCAAUCUAUACCAGGGGGCAAGACUCCUGCCCCAACAUGACUGAAAAGGGGAAUUAGUCUUAAAUGAAUAGGAAACUGUCUGCAAAGCCAGAGAACGCUCCACAGAGAGACCUGGACCCAUGCAGAAAAACCUCUGAGGUUCAGAACAGUGUGGAGGUUCUGCUUUUAUUGCUCACUUCAGCAGCAGCCUGGGAUGCUGGAAGCAUUUAUGAUGUAAGGUAAGGUCACUACAGCUGUAUCUGCACUGUGGCAGCACAACUGUAUUUCUAGAAGGAAGAGGGGAAAAAGGGGAAAAAAAAAAAAAAAGGGAAGAAAAAGGAACAAGAUGAAACCACACGUCUCUGUGAGAAGUCUGGGAGCUCACUGGUCCCCAUGACUGCAGUGCAUGCGAGCGCAGCAGGCUCUUUGUGGCAAGAUUUGCAUAAAGAGAAGUUAGAAAUACAGAUUUGUGCCAAAACCGCAUCGUCCCCCAGAGGAGGUGUCAGCAGAGGACCUCGAAAAUAUAAGAAGCCAUAUAUUCCAAUUACUUUUUAAUUACUUUAUCCUAAUAAAAAAUAAGGUUCAACCAGUGAAUUUUUGCAGGGAGUCGCAUCCUAUGUUACUCAGUACUUGAAAAUGAGAAAAGGCCCUGGAGACGCUCAAGGCUGGGUUGGAUGGAGCACCAGACAGCCUGAUCUACUGGUUGGCAGCCCUGCCCACGGCAAGGGGUUGCAGCUCAGUGACCUUUAUGGUCCCUUCCAACCUUAGUCAUGAUUUUAUGAUUCUAUAACUUGCUGAGCACAAGUGAGCUGUAGACCUGUGGCAUGACACAUACCACAGCAACACCGAGGGUAGCUGAGGCCUGCCCUGCUCUGUGCUGGAACAUGGUGGGUUGGGAGCAGCCGUGCCCCAUGGAGCCCAGCAGUGCAGGAACAGAGGGCCGUGCCUGGCUGAUGCAACACGCACCCAGCAGCAAGAAGCCCAGCUCUCCAGCUCCACGUGCUUUUCCUACUGUGAGCAGAGUGCUUGAGCACAGGAACCUACCACACACUCUUUGUAUAAUAGGAAACAUUUACUUUUGUGAAUGAUUAUAAACAGAAGGCUCUUGAAAGAGCUUACCCUUCAACAGGACCCCUUAAAUAUUUACAUCUUGCGGGCUGACGUGUAGCAAGGAGUGUUUACUGCAAGGCUGCUCUGACCAAACUUGAUAUCUCGCACACAGCACGGGGCUGUACUGCAUCUCUCACUGCAGGGCUAAACCAGGGGGAACAGAGUGCUGCUAUUACAGCCCAUCCUUCCCUCCAAACUGUGGUGAGUGUUUUACUAAGUAAGAAACCUAAGAUGAGACAAAAUGAGGAAGGAAUGCAACAGGGACAUUUGACUCACUCCUGUGACAUGACUGAAGCUUUUAUUAAUUGCGAAACUGCAGAAAGCCCAUUCACCAGUUCAUCCUUCGGCUUGCAAUUUAGAGAGGAGCAGACGUUUACCAAAAGCAAACAAAAAUCCUGAAAAUUCACAAUAGGUGGUUCCAGUUCUGAGACAGCUCCAGUUUGUAAUCUUUUCUCUUUAUCGCUAUUUAAUGACUCAUAUCACGCCACUCUCUCCCCAUUCCUAAUGUCUGCUGCUGAAAUCUCCUUUAGAGAGAUAGUACUUGGAUGCCUGAGGGAAAGUCAGAGAGAAGGAUAACUUAAAAAAUAAAAAGAAAAAAAAUCACAGGAGUCAUCAUUUUCUAAGGCUGCACGGAAACAGAUAAAACUCGUUGCCAAGAUUAGCUCAUAUCGUACAGAAUAUAAGGAGAUGGACAGAUCUCCUUACGUGGUGUGAUAGGCUGCGUCUUUCCAUCAGAUACAUAUGCAGACAUAUACGAAAUAGCUUCUUUGAAACUGGCUGAAUUACUUUGGAUUCACAGCCAGAAAUUGAAGGUCUGAAAUAAGCUUGCUCUGUGACUUGGCAGCUGGAAAAUCCAACCGGUUGUCAGAGAGAAGGUACAUCUUCCUGGGGGAUAAUGCCAAGAUGUGGAGGCAGAAAAAAACAAAGCCAGAUACUAUCACAACGUAAAGUCCCACUGUUUAUUAUCUGAUUUUAUUUGGGAUAAGCUGUUAAGUUACAACUGUUAACUGACAGAAGUUGGUCCUAUCUCUAUUUCAUCACUAAGGUUAUUUGAUUCACAGAGGCUUAAUACAAGCCCAACUAAUUAUUGUCCAAAGUUGUUAUUGUGCCCAGCUCUUAAGUUCCAUAUAUUCUCAAAAUAAAACAGCAGUUCUAAAAAAAAAAACAGUGGUGUGGACUAGCUCAUGUCAUAGCAAUUAGUACAGGUGCCUCAUGUUCUCAGACUUCAAGCAAUAAAUCUCUGCUUCUACAAAUGUCUUAUGUCACUGCUGGCCAGCAUCCCUGAUAGCCCAGGUAAAUGAAGAUGUUUUAUACAGUACAAAAAAUGGGAGAUCAGAGAUCUGUCCCUUGGAAAUCAAUAAAACUCAUAUCAUUUCACAACUAGGCUUGCAGAGUCUCCUCAGGGGUUCCCCUGGAAAGUUAUGACUAAGAAUUCAGAAACCAAAGAUAAUUGUAAAACCAACAUUAGGGCAUUUUCCAAGUGGGUAGGUGACUCAAUUUGGAUUGUAACAUUGCUAUGUCUCAAUAAAACAUACAUUGUAGUCAAAUAACAAAGGAAACUCUACUUGAAAUAAGCCUGGCUUGUGCUCUUUAACCAAUUCUGCUCAGCUUUUGACACCCAGCCAAAAAAGCUACCACAAGCACGUCGCAUCCUGCUUCCCACACCAGAUACCCACUGUGCUACCCUGCAACAUGUGCUCCGCAGCACAGCACCCUACCCGCACUGCCUGGAUGUCCACAAAUCAAGGCAAGCACAGGGGGCCCCACAAAGGAUCACAGUGUUGUCACAUCCCUGUGUUCCACCUGCCGCAUGUAAUGGGGUGGAGGUAAUUUCCCAGGUGGCAAAUGGCAAUAAAACUGGAAGGAGAACUGCAGAUAAUGCCUUUGGAAAGACCUGCACAGAUGUGGGAAUCUGUGCUGCCAGGAACUGUGGCUUUAGCAGAUGACAGCCAGCCUGUUUGUUCACAGGCCUGGUGAACUGCUAUAGAAGCCUCAGGUGUCCCUUUCUCCAGAGCAGCAAAGCACCAGGGUCCUGGGACUAGUGGGCAUGCAGGGACCAUCACCAGAUGGCGUGUACUGGUGCUCCCUUCGUAUCUAAUCUCUAUGCAAUACUGGAGGCUGAUUUGACAUAGAAAUCUGCUGGGAUCAAGAAUUUUCCUUUACUAUCACACAUUUUAAAGCCCAGCUUGGUGUGACUGUAGUUAUGUGCUCCCCACCACCUGCUAUGACCUCCAGUUUUGCGGCAAGCAGUGCACAGAGAUGAGUAUGGGCAGAGAAAAAAGCAGAGCCCUUCUGCCUCCGAUGCUGUCCAUCCCAAGCAGCCAGCCAAAGCUCUGCCUGCCUUUGAUGCUCUGUUCUUGCCAUGCAAAGCCUCACACAGCAUUAUUAAAGGAUUGCCCAGCUAAGCAGGAAAAUAAUUUAUCCUUGCAAUUAUCAGAAGACCUCAUAAAUCUUCCAAACGCCCUUCAAAUAGCACUGGAUUUUCACUGAUGGAAAGCAUAAUUGAUUUCACUCCAGCAAAGGCAGAAAAUCCAGGGACACAUUACACUGCAGUUAGCACGGCAGAGAUGUGGUGCCCUCAGGAACACCCCUGCUUCCCUCUGGCUCUAGAGACAAAGCCAUCAAUGCAUUGCUGCUAAGCUGCUGGGAAAUAACUCCUUGAAGUGUAGGUCUUUCAUCACAGAUGCCUAUUUGAUAACCAUCACUCCCUAAUGCAAAUAAUUGAUUUCCAUUUCAAUUGAUAAGCAUCAUUUAGUGUGCAUCAAAAGGACCUCUACUGGCAGAAGGGAUUAGAGGACCAGGGGUUUACUCAAGAAUGCUUUGAAGAUUUCCCUGAUGAAUUUCACAUCCCAAAUCUCCAUCAUUCCCUUAUUUCCAUCUCCAUAAACUGCACUGUUUCAUCCACCAACUUUAGCAAACAGGUAACAUCAGUAGUAGCUCUGCUUGGGUGGGGAAUUCAGGCCCAGGUUUAAAUAGCGUUCCACUGGGUUUGUAGUAUCUUUAGAAACCAAGCAAAACAUUAGUGUUUGCCAUGACUUUGAUCCAAAAAGCAUUUAAAAUGAAGACGUUUAGGUUGAGGUUGGGAUAAAAUUAAAAACCCCAUUUGGGACAUAACCACAUAGGAAAGCAAAUGCAGUGAGUUUUGUGUAAAUCAUUAUAACGAUUCAAGGGAAAAAAAAUUCUGUAAGAAUGGUCAAAUUACAAAGACAGUUAUGAAACGUUAUAGUUAAAACACAAUCAUGAAAGAAUUUAGGACUUUUCCUCAAGGCUGCUGCAGUCCAGGUGCCCAUUAGUUUUUUGCACAGAAUUUCUGUUGUCUUCAGCAGGAGCCCUUUGUAGGGUAGAAUCUGUAACUAAGGGACUACUCUGAAAAGGACAGUCCUUUAAUCAAAACUGAUUCACUGUUUUAUGUACUGGUUGUAAAGUGCGAGGACAUUGUCAUAACAAAUAUGACAACUUACACAUUUCAGGGGAAAUGGUGGAGGAAGAUCAAACAAACCCAGAAGAAACUUGGUGAUAGAAAAUGGAAAGGGUUCCAUGAAAGUGUUUUCAUGUCAUUGAAACAGGUUUAAAAUGCUUACAUACAAAUACUUACAUACUUACAUUUAUGCAUAUAUUCUCCAGCAAUCUUCAAAAUCAAGCAUUAAAACAAUCUUUCUCAACCAUAAGAAUUGGAAAGAAAACCUAAAAUUGUUACUUAAGGAGAAAUUAGGUUUCUGGAAGUGCAGAACAGUAACUAAGUAAAAGCAAUGUAAAAGCAAACAAACACAGACAUCAAAGCUUCUUCCAGAGUUCAGCUCCUUCCAUUUCUACAUUUUUUUCUCUUCCCUGACUCUGGUAGCAGGAAAAUAGCUUAGCUCCUUUCUAAUACAGUAAGCAAGAAAGCCAUUUGGCUCCGUGCGACAGUACCCACUACAAUAUCAGAAACCAUAUUCCUCUGUAUUUUGAAAUGCAACAUGAAAAAGGAAUUGUCAUACCCUCCCUUGGCACAGUGGAUACACCUCUGCACAGUGGUCCCUCCUGCUGAGCAGUACUGGCAGCAGCCAGUUGUCUCCACUUGUCACCCCAGCAAAAGAGAGACUCAAAGAGGGAACCCACCCACCCUAUUGCUGCAAACAUCUCAGGAAGAAACAUUCAUCUCAGCCUGCGAUGAGAGUGAAGAGAUUUGUGGUGUUCUAGUUACAGUAGUUUUGAAUCUGUGGAUGCUUUUGAUGCUUUCUUAGAUCAAAGAGAAUGCUAAAAUUAAAUAUGAAUUACUCUCAGCAUUUUGUUGGGAACUGCUCCUUACAUAAGGCCAAGUUACAAACAGACUGACCAGGGUUUAUUCAUUCAUUCAUCCUCAGCAGAAUCAUCCCUGUGCCUUGGGAUGAAGCAAUACUACCAUUUCCUCCACAGCCACAAUUAAGGCACAUCUUGAGGAAAUAAAACAAAAAGAAAGAUCUCUCAGUGCGAACUUAACCUCUUGGGUUUGUGACAGUCAUUUAUCCUGCACAGCAAAAAUACUCAGCACAAGAAGCUGGAAAAAGAGCAGCAAGGAUGGGCAUGGAUGCUCUGUCGCAAAGGACAGUCACAUCUGCCACCAGGCUCACAUACAUCUGGCAUGGAUAUACACAGGAAUAGCAUGGAGAAAGCAAGCACAUAUGCAACACAGAGCCAGAUAUAAAAACAGUCGAUCAAAUUCACAAUUUUUCUAAAAAUAGGCUCACUAUUUAAAGAAAAAAUGUUUUUUUUUUUUCCCUCAAUGUUGUUAAAACAAUGGAGCACAAAAUAAAUUAUAAUGAAACAGUGGAAAGUUCAGUAUCUGGAAAUAGCAGCGUAAUUCCCUGCCAGAGUUUGAUUCACUUACUGCCCUGGAAUGACUCCAGCUUUACACCAGCCUGUCAGCUGACUAUUUGCCACCUUAUAUGUGAAAGCCUUCUCUGAGUCAGCACAAAGGAACUCCACAAAAAGCCUGAAGAACUCAGAGAAUCUCUGUACAACAAAAGCGUAGCAAAAAGGAGUCCAAGAAUCCCCAGCGAAAAUAUUUUGCUUUGUCCAAAUAUUCACAUGUGGAAAAAGUGCCUCCACAACAACUGCAGCUUGCACAACAUCGGCCUGCACAAGUUCUGAAGUUACUCCCCUGCCUGAAAGCAAAGCAUCUGCAGCCACUGCCAUCCCUGGAAUCCCGAGUGCUGCGCUCCUGCUGCCUCCUGAACCCGGACAGAAGAGAGCAGGCAGAGAUGUGCCCCGAUGGCCACGACCUUCCUGUCUGCUUUUGGCUUUUACCAGACCACUGCAGUAAGCUAUAGUCUUCCUGAAAAACAACACUGCAUGUCAACAAUGAAAAACCCAGCACACACAGAUGACAGCAAAUCAAGAAACAAUGCACAAGAGAAAAGCAAAGGACGUUUUCUCAAAUAAGACAGAUGUGUGUAAUAACAGCAAUAACAAGAGGAGAUUGUGUAUAAGCACUCCAGGUUAACAGAUUUCUCCACCAACUCCUCCCUGUUUCUGUUCGCAUUUCUGUAAAAUGGGAACACAAAAUUAUCCUGGAGAAAAAGAUAAUCCCAAAAUGAUGACAAGGCCACAGCCAUCACAUAGCUGCACAGCCCUUCCUCACCGUGUGAGCAUUCAGAAACUCCUAUUUUACAUCAUAUUUAAUGCACAUGCAUGAUAGGUUCAUAGUCAUGUGGAAUGAAUUGCUUUUUUGGCAACGUCUCUUAACUUGCUCCUAUGACAUCCUACAUGCUUUACAGCUUCCUUUUUUCUUUCCCCCUUCAGGUCAUCCUCACCUGGUUCUAUGCUGUGCUGCAUUCAGCAAGAGUAGGGGAAGCUGGUGGAGGAGAAGGGUCUGGUUUUGGCUGCAAUUCCCUCCUUCCAGGGAAAAGAGCAUAAAGACAGCAUGGGAGUCCCAAGAACACAAGCUCUCUCCAAAUCAGCUUAGCAAAACUCAGCAGUAACACGCAUCAUUAAAAUUCCUGGAACCUCCAUGUAUGGGUAUCUCCACCUGUACAACCUCCACCUGGAGUCUCAUGUUAGGAAGUGUAUUAUUGUCUGAAUGACUAGGAAGGAGGAGAAAGACGUUCUCAUCUCGAUGACUUGCUUUAAAACUCCUGCAACUAUUUCUACUGCAACAUAGUCAAAAAUAAUGCAUCAGAGUGACUGCAAAACGCAUGAAUAAACACAACGACCUCCUCAAUCACAAGCCUUGCAGAGAAACUGUCUGCAUGAAGGACCUGCUGCCCCUGCCUAGUUCCCACUGACCCCUUGAAGCUAUGCUACCAAACCUGUGCACAGGACAGAGGACUGUGCCUUCACAUGUGAAAUAAAUCCUGGCUAGUCCUUGGCCUUACGACAGGGCAGGGCAUCGUAACUAAGGCUCUUUCAUAAUUAGAUGCUGAGUGUGAUCCAAAGAUGAUGCUUCGGGUUAAUGCUGGGAAAGAUUCCCCAUCCUUUCCCAAAGGGGCCACUGCAGUGCUGAGUGUAAGCACAGCCCCGUGGCAGUGCAGGACCAUGGUCCCACCCCAUCCUGCUCAGUGUGCCACAUCGAUCCCCACUGCCUGUGUUCUGCUGGGCUGUGAGUGGCAGCUUUGGUGACAGUGGCUGGGGUCAAAGCCACGAAGAUUUUUAAGCAUACUUGCUCACCCAUGGCCAACCUGCCUUUAUUUUUGUCAUCUGUAUGGAAUUACUGCUGCUUUCAAAUUUGAAACUUGGUACAUUUUAUUUCAAGAUGACUUUACAAGUCUUUCUGUGUGAUAUUCAUUUCAGCAGCACUCUAACAUUGCACAACAGUCAUAUGAUCCAGUCUAUGUGUUUUAUGAGACAGACAUGACACAUGAAAAUUAAAAACAGGUUCUUUGUCUGGAAUACAGAGAGGAACCGCAGGGGGAAAAAGAAAAAACAACGAGAGCACGCGCCCAAAGAUCAGGGUGGAGGAAGAAAGGGGAGGAAAAAACAGGAUGAGACAUCAGAGUCAUUUCAUCCUGCCCAGAGUGAAAACAGCUUCCAUCAGGAGGAAGGACAAUUCAUUGGCAUAAAUUUACUGCAGAAUACAAUUGAACUAUGCUGCAUUUCAGGACCGGCGCUAGCAGUGAGGACAGCUGUGCCUAUGGUCCAGUCCUUUAUUUAUAAUUCACAAUAUUGCCUUACUUGAGCACAGCUUUUUAGUUGCCUUCGCACUUCAAAAGACAAUUCCUGUAGGUAUUGCAUCCAAGGAAAAAUACAGAUAAUCAUGUUUUAAACGUGAGAUUUUUAACUGUUAUUUAAAUAGCAGUACUAGGGUCAGUGUUAACCUACCAAUUGUCCUGCUUGACAUGGAGAAUUCACAGGUCUUUCAAAUAUCUCAGCCUGAUCUGAAUAGGUGUCUCAACUCAGACUCACCCCAGCCUACAGGACCACCAGAGCUGCAGCCAUUUGGGUCUCCUUCACUUGGAACAUGCGUGUAUCACCACACCUACAUCUGCACUGGGAGCAGAAUGGGCAGUGUAGCACACUUCCACCUGAGAAGCAGGAUGCUGCAGCUAUAUGCUAGGAGCUUUGGCAGAGGUCACAGCCGGGAAAUGGCUUUUUCCUUGUUUGGCCUUAUGCUACUGGCUGAGAGAAAGAGGCCCUCAUUUAAUCAAGUGUACUUCCCUAGCUAAAGGGUUAUAAAGUUAGGUAAUUUCACAGAGUUAGGUAACACAGCAGGUGUUGUAUUCACAGUUAUGUGAACAUGAACAAAAAGACCUAAGGUAAUCAAAUCUCAUGCUUGAAGGGUAAAAGAAUCCAUAAGAUGAUCACCAGCAGAGAUCAGGCACAAGCUACUUAAUCCCACACCCUUUUAAGCACUGAGCAAAUUGGCCAGGUGCAGGCAACGCUUUCCUGUUUAUUUUUCAGUUUCUCCCUCUUCCAGGCAUCACUGCUGGAGGUCAAAACAGAGAACAAGAUGAUGGCCCAGUCCAUCUGUUUUAUUCCAUAUAGGCAAGGUGAGGAUGGCACACAACUAUCUCAGCACAUAAAGACAGUGGAGAGACAAGCCUGGACUAGCCAAGCUACUUGUAAUUCCAUAGGGAUCACAAACUCAUGCCAGUGAUUACCCAACCCUAAAAAUGCUCUUCCAAGAGUGUGAAUGAUCCUUCACUUUUCCUGCCUCUCUCAUUCAUAACAUCCCUGGAGGUGGUUAGUAACACUGCUUAGGUAAACUUACAUGGAGGUGUAUGGAGAUAGACACUCUCUCAAAUGACUUCACCUCUGUGAUGUUGUUUUUUUUUUGGUUUUUGGUUUUUUUGGGGGAGCAUAUAAUUUCAAAUGAAUACUAUCAUAUCUAUAUGUGUUUUAUGAAAGCCUGUCUUUAAAAAUAUUUUUUUAAAUGUAGAUGUUGAUUUUAUGGGGGACUGAAUGCCAAGAAACAAGUAUUAAAAACACUAAAGAACGUUUCCUUAUAAUGAGAAAAGGCAUUGGAAAAAAACUCCUAAGAAGUCAUUUUUAUAACUCCUGUUCUAUGCACUACUCAGGACACAGGAUACCUGGGACAGCAAACUGAGCAUGCCUGCAUAUACAGUUAUCUUGACUGCAUUAGCAAGUUUUUUUGUCAGUAAAUGACUUCUACUGUGAAUGUUGGGCCUCUUUAAUAUGCAAAAAAAACAAAAAAUGAAGGGUCAUUCAGAGAAUUAGCUGAACACUGUGAAUUUCCUAAUUGUCUUUCAUUGCUUUGUUUCUGUUCAUAGGUAUAACAAGAAAUUUAUUUUUUCUAAUAUCUGUGUAUCGCAUUCAGCAGCUGCUUGUCAACGUUAUGCUCGUUAAUGGAUGAAAAAGAAAGCAAAGACAUAAAAUGCAAUUUUUGUCUUCAACCAAAUCUAACUACUACCAACAUCAAAGGAAGAUUAAUCAUGAAUUUCAAAACAGGACUGAAAAAUGUACCCAGAAUAAUGAUUAAAAAAAAAAAAGCAAAAGCAGCUUCUAGACAGUGAGAGAGCAGGGGAACUGCCCAUAUGAACAGAAAAUGAUAUAAAUAAUUUGAUGCAACUAAAUCUACAUUCGUUGACACUCAAGAUCAACACUAACUGCUGGCUUCGUGCUAUCCAUUGCUGCUGGCACUGAACAUCACAGAAAGAUAUAGCCUGUUUUUUUCCUCACCUCAGAAGAGCAAUCAAUCCCUAUUCAAUCUACAGAAAAUGACAGAGGAAAAAAAAAAAGCAAUAACCAAUUUUCUUCAUAGCACUCUGCAAAGAGGACCAAAAGAGCCCCAGGACAGUAUUAUUUCUGUGGGCUUCAAAAGAGAAAAGUGAGAUGAUCCUUAUAAUGCUCACAAUUUAUUUCCUUUGUUUUUAAAAAACAAAAUAAAUUGGAAAACCAUUUGUUUAAACCACUCCUUUGGAGAAUUUGUUUAAGGACUUUCACAGUUAUAAAUGUGGAAGUGUCAUCUCCAGCUGACACUGCUUGUUUGAGACAAAACCGUAUUGCAUCCCCCCAUGUUGAAGUGAACCAGGUAAAUCAAUUUGGAUUCACAGAAACCAUAAGAAUUGAGUCACGGUACAAAGCCAGAGUGUACUGCCAUAUAUCUACCAUAACCACUCUCCUACUUUUUCCGUAUGACCUCUACAAAAUAAUUCAAAGACACGCAGUAUCAUAACGCCAAGCUCUGUAUCCUCGGGGCACCUGAAAUCUAAAUGGAAAGCUUACCCUCAAACCCAUCCCCUGCCUGAAUCUGCUCAUUAGGUGUGCAAGGCAACUGGACAUGGGGCAAGUCAGGGAUCAUAUCAUUAUUCACACCUUACAAGGGAAUCUGGACAACAGGGACCACUCCCAUCUUACUCUUCUUUUAUGUUUAGAAGGAAGAGAAUGAGAUAUUGGAUCAAGUUAAUACUAACAUAUAUAUUAUUUGUGAGGAAUUAAUGGUUCAUUGGUUUCAUUUUCUAUUAAAGAGCUGUUAAUUUUACACUUGGAAAUAGCAGCCUGAGCCAUGGCUUUUUGAGACAAUGAAUGAGCACCUUAAAUAUCUCAGUCCAUUGUAUGAAACUGUUCCAGACAUGAAAACCUCAUGACUAAUUUUGUGUUAUACAGAAAUGAUUGUAAUCAUUUCUAUGAUCUGGACGCCCAGCAGAAAAAAAAUACAAAACAAAUUUCACUUUGUAGGAUAUGAAUAAGUCUCCCAUGUUACAAAAUAUAUAGGGUUCAGGUGUUGUUGUUAUUUGUUUUUUUACAUAGGACUUCUCUCAUCUUGGAGGAACUCAAAACAGUGCUUCAUAUUGCAGCGGCAGGAUAUCAGAGUAAUUCCACAAGUGCAAUGAAGUUGCAAUAAAAUGAACAGGAAAUUUUCUUACAAAUAUACAACACCAUUAAAAAUAUAUUUUCAUAGCUGUAUAAUCAGGCAGCACUUUCGCUCCCUCACCAUCACUUAAUACAUUUCAUUAUUCGGCACAUCAGUUCUGGGAGAAUUAAUUGGAAAGACAGCCCUGAGAUGUGAACCAAUACAUCAGCUUAACCAAACCAAGGGUUAAACCACAAGGCCUCUCGAGCUCAUUCACAAUGAUGAUCCUCAUUUUACCAUCAGUCAUACCACCUGUCAGCUGGAAAUAAAGAAAUGCUGUUCAUAUCUUGAGGCUACAAUCAAGCAUGACUGCGGGAUAAUUUGUCUAUAUACCGUCUGAUUCCAACAGGAGCCUGAGCUAUUAGAGAACCAGGCAGCUUUUUCUACAAAUUCCCGACCCCCUUUGUAUUAACCCUCCUAAAAAUAUAAAAAUAAAGGGAGGGGUGGGAAGGGGGGCAGACAAAAAAGGUAAAACGUUUUUUCCUCACACUGGAGUCUUCAUAAGAAAAGGCCCUGUACUUAGGACUGACAUUUCAGACACCUCCCUCACCACUGAAGCCUGUAAUUUCUCCUACUUCCUCCCCUUUGCAUGUCUGAUAGAGACAGACAACCCAAGCACCAUGAAGUCAUCCACAAGGUGUUCUGAGCUCUCAUCCAAGCAUCAGGUCACUCCGCUCAAUAACUACCAAAUUAGCCACAUAUUGGUGUGCUUGGACUGCAUCUUCUUGAUCCAAAAGAACGACACAGAAAGUAGACAGCAGAACUUGUCAAGUGGGUGCAGACUUCAGAGAAAGCAAGGAUAUUUGUUUGUUUCACACAUAGGCUUGAAUUUGGCAUGCCUGCAUUUUUGCAUUGCCAUGCUCUCAGAAGAAGAAAGCGCUGAUAUAUACAUAUGUAUAUUUUAAUUCCAGUCUUUUUUUUCUUCCUCUUCUUCCUUAAGAAGGUGGCAAGGCUUCCUUUCACGUACUGGGAAAUGUCAUUCUCUGCAUAUGCAGUUAUCCAUGCACAAUGCACUUGAAGUAGAAAAGUCCAUCAAUGUAGGUAUUAUUUAAUCCUUUAUAGUUGUCCUUCAUGUAAUAAAACUUAUUUCUACUCUAGACACUGUUUAAAGGCAAUCAUAAAGGAGGUCAUAAAGCAUACCACAUAACCACUAACAUACCUUCUAUGCUGUAUUUACGUUGUAUUUAGUUCUCUUUCCUGAGUGAAGGCAGCACUGCCUUGCAAAGACAGACAUGUCAGGAUGGAACCGAACUACCUUUGACUCAGUGCAGCUACAGAUUAGUCACUUGACCUCCCCGAUCUCUGCCCGUGUGCAUAGCGGUGCAAUGCUGCACAGAGUAGUUCUGAGUUUAUGACACUAUGAGGCUUUGAGACCUGCUCAGUAAAAAUUAUUUCUAUAAUACUGCAUUUGCAUGAAGUGCUAAUUGAUGCCAGCUGGCCUUUCACCCCAGGCAGCAAAAACAGCUUCUUACCACACACAUUUGCUUUACUGGGCACCAGAGCAUACUUCUCAUUUAUAAUGCCUGGGUUUUGCCGUAUAACAUUCAAACCAUUUCAUCUUCAGGAAUAUUGCUUUUUGUAGAAUGAUGCAGCAAUGCAUUUGAAAGAUUACCCUAGUGACUGUGCACAGUGUUAACAGUGUAACACCCUUCAAACCCAGAAGUUAAUCCUAUUUACCACAUACAGCUCUAGAUUCAGGUCUUAGCAUCUUGGAAAGUCUACACUGUCCAGUAUGUUUCCUACAUGAACCUGACAAUCAAGUUACAAUGGCCCUUGAAAUGAAGCUGUUUCUGGACUGGCCUCAUAAGAUAUAGCAUCCCCAAAUUAAGAUCUCUAAGUAAUUAUUUUUCUUUCCAUUGUGUUUUCUGAAGUCCCUCCCUCUGCGCAGAAACUUGGAUGUGCUCCACCUGCUUAUGUUUGCUGAUAGAAGCCAGAGGAAUUUUCACUUCAUCUGUUUCACAGAUGCUCAGACUCUUUUCUCAAGACAUGUCACACAAAAAUGUCUCCAAAAUAAUUAGCAGGAUUUCAGUCAGCUUGACUGCGAUAGCCGCAUGUAAGGUAAAGCUCAGACAGCUCUUAAGAAACUGCAACCCUGGAAUGAGUGUCUGGGACCUUAGCAGUACUCAUUUAAAUCUUCCUGCAUGACACAUUUAUAGUGUUCCACAUAGAGAGAAGGGGGAAAGGGUUGGUAUGCAGAAAGCUGCUACGAUGUGAGAAACAUCAUGCACUUUUGUAACCUCUUGAACUCAUACUGACAUAAAAGUAAUUGAUAAUGAAGAGCAAAGACGGAACCUAAGAAGUCAAAGAGGGGGAAAUUACAGAAGUAUGUCUGCAGUCACGAUCUGUGUCUCAUCCCAAACAAAAACCAUUGCUUUAUUGAGGAGAAAAGUGAAAUAAAAAUAAUCUUACGAAAUGUA